rnacentral:rRNA from 1 species
AUUGAACGCUGGCGGCAGGCUUAACGCAUGCAAGUCGAGCGGAGAUGAGGUGCUUGCACCUUAUCUUAGCGGCGGACGGGUGAGUAAUGCUUAGGAAUCUGCCUAUUAGUGGGGGACAACAUUCCGAAAGGAAUGCUAAUACCGCAUACGUCCUACGGGAGAAAGCAGGGGAUCUUCGGACCUUGCGCUAAUAGAUGAGCCUAAGUCGGAUUAGCUAGUUGGUGGGGUAAAGGCCUACCAAGGCGACGAUCUGUAGCGGGUCUGAGAGGAUGAUCCGCCACACUGGGACUGAGACACGGCCCAGACUCCUACGGGAGGCAGCAGUGGGGAAUAUUGGACAAUGGGUGGAAGCCUGAUCCAGCCAUGCCGCGUGUGUGAAGAAGGCCUUUUGGUUGUAAAGCACUUUAAGCGAGGAGGAGGCUACCUGGAUUAAUACUCUAGGAUAGUGGACGUUACUCGCAGAAUAAGCACCGGCUAACUCUGUGCCAGCCGCCGCCGUAAUAC